rnacentral:rRNA from 1 species
UACGGAGGGUGCAAGCGUUAUCCGGAUUCACUGGGUUUAAAGGGUGCGUAGGUGGGUUGGUAAGUCAGUGGUGAAAUCCCCGAGCUUAACUUGGGAACUGCCAUUGAUACUAUUAAUCUUGAAUACUGUGGAGGUCAGCAGAAUAUGUCAUGUAGCGGUGAAAUGCUUAGAUAUGACAUAGAAUACCAAUUGCAAAGGCAGCUGGCUACACAAAUAUUGACACUGAGGCACGAAAGCGUGGGGAUCAAAACAGG